UACGUAGGGAGCAAGCGUUGUCCGGAAUCAUUGGGCGUAAAGCGCGCGUAGGUGGCCACAUAAGUCCGUUGUGAAAGUCAAAGGCUCAACCUUUGAAAGCCGAUGGAUACUGUGUGGCUAGAGUACGGAAGAGGCGAGUGGAAUUCCUGGUGUAGCGGUGGAAUGCGCAGAUAUCAGGAGGAACACCGGUGGCGAAGGCAGCUCUCUGGGACGGUACUGACGCUGAGACGCGAAAGCGUGGGGAGCGAACAGG
rnacentral:rRNA from 1 species